GAGAGCUUUUUCCUCAGUUCUCAUCUGACAUGGGACUGAUAGGACACGUGAUAAAUGACAAAACUUGAAAACUCCAAGGUUUUAUUUUUUCUAAAUCAGAUAAAACUCUUUGACUUUCACAAAUCCUUGUGGUGUGGUGGUAAAACUGAUGGUUUGAGCCAGGUUGAAAUUAGAGAGAAAACAGCUUUCCUGUUGGCAUUUCAACACAUCUAUCAGGCAAGUAGGCUUUGGCACAAUGGGAAAAAGAGAAGACCAAAGCAACAUUGAGCAGCUCUGGUGAUCCCCAAAGCCCUGUUAAAGCAGAAGUCAGUAAGAUUUAGCACAGUGGAAGGGUGUAUCACUUCCAUUCCCCCAGCCGGAUAUCCCCGGGCCUGGCCCCGGGCCUGGCUCUGCCCACAGAGCUCAGGCAGUGCUGAGGAUCACAUUCAGAGGGCAGGAAAGUGUUUGGAGAUGGAAUGCUCCUAUUUUCUUUUUCCUUUGGAAACUGUGACAUAGCACACAAUGCCUGUAGGUGUUAGAAUCAGUUGUUUCUUGCAUUUUCAGAGGACCUGAAGCCAGCAGGAACUUGGUAAGGCCUAUGGAGGCCGGUGGGAGGUCUGUGGCCGUAUAACUCCUCUGUGCAGGGCUGCUGCCUAAAGCACAUCGUGUCACCUCUUGGAAAGCAUCCAGCUCACCCGGUUACCUGCUGCUGGCCCUAGGAGCUUAUGGUAAAUGUGUCUUCCUGGCAAGUAAAGGACAGAUUGCUUCUCAAACAGUGUGUCCAGGCAGAGAAAUAAAAGGUUUUUGUGAGGCCACUUCUGUAGAUUUCAGCACAGAAGAAGAUUAACUGCAGCACAGGAACAGAAAUGAACAGUCAGCAUUUAAAGGAAAUACAAGAACUUCUAUGCCUUACUGUCAGAGAAAAACGUCAGCUGGAUCAGUUAAGAAAAAGUCAGUGGUGGUGCAGAUGGUGAUGACAGCUCAUACAGAAAUGCUGCUAGAUUUCUAGCCAUUGCCUCGAAAUACUGAUUUCAAACUGCAGUGCUAUAAUGACAGCCUAAAUGAAGUUUUGUUGGCUUCAAGGGGCUGUUCCCAAAUUACCUUGGUGUCACACUGGAAUGAGAUCAUCUCAGUUCGACCACCACUCAAAACAUCACUCUUACCCAUAAAACAUCACUGGCUUCCAACACUCUCAAAAGUACAAAAGGGCAAUAGGAGAGAAAUCCUGAUUUGUUAAAGUGAAACAAAGCUCUGCUGAAAUGAUCUGCAAAGGUUCCUUCAGCCAUGCUUCUUUUCCAGGUGGAAGACGAAAGAAAGGUACAGAUAGAGAAUCAGGCACCUAAGCGUCAUAAGGCUAAAUAUUUGUUCGCUCACUUAACAUGCAGUAAGUCCUGGAGUGCUCUCUGUUUACCCAAGAGGAUUUCAGCAUAGAGGCUUGCUCCAGAAAGAUUAAAGUCAGUGAGCAAAAAACCAUGUGCAUUUGGUGGACAGCAGUUCUGCAAACAUGACUGACUGAAGAAAGGCAAAAAAAUACAAGUACAGCAGCAUGGCACAGCAGAAACCAGCUCAUCGGAGAUGGCAGAUGGACAGAACACUAGUUAUGCUUGAUUUUAUAUUUUUGCCAUUAUUUUUUUUUUAUUAAAGAUUUAAAAAAUCAAUUGAGCAAUUUUGCCAGUGAGACUGAUUUGCAAUGCACAUAAGAUUUAAAGUUUACCUUUGGAUAACUUCAUAUUGUUUUCUGUCUUUAUUUGACUGAAUUUGCCACACUGAAACUGAAUUAAGCCAUUGAUUUAUCAGAAGUGUUUUAUUCUUCAUUCUUGAUCUGUGCAGAUCUAAGUUAUAAACCAGGAAAGCAGUAGAAAGUUGCACUUGUAAAUAUUUUAGAGAAAACUGCUGUUCUGCAGAACUUUAUGCUGGUUUUCUCUGGUCCUAUUGAGUGCUUUACAGAAGCUCAUUUGGGAAAUGUAUUCUUUGAUUUUGGUAAUCAAUUGAUCAACAUUUGAAGCUUUGCUCAGACACACAGCUAUUGUGAGGAGCAGUUCUUUCAAAUAUCCAUUUGAUUGUGUUUGUGAUGCUUGCUUUAUUCAACUCUGCUCCAGGCAAAUUAAAAUGUACUGCUAUAUAAUAAGUAUGGGAAGGUUAGCACUCACAAUUUAGGGAUAAAACAUUUUGACAGUUCUAUUCUACAUUUGCAUUUAAAAAUCGUAAUGCAUUUGAUUAGACCCUAUGUUUAUCGUAGGAUCUCUUGUAGGCAUUGCUACUGUGAGAUUGUUACCUUUCAGGAUUUGUUCUGGACUGUGUGUCUGUGGGGAGCACAAAAGCCUACUGGUUCCACAGACAUGUUAUUUUCUGAUCCAUGGUAUGUCUCGUUUUCUUUAAUUUCUGAUGGGGCUCCACCUGCACUGCUGCUGCUGAGUCAUCUGUGUUUGUGUCUGAGAUAUUUUUGGUGUGCAGAGUUAGGCAGGUACAUGUGUGUUGUUCUGCCUUAUAUACUUGCCAUGCUUUUCCACUGGUCCCCAAACUCAGCUUUUGGGGCCCUGCAGAAUCCCCACGGGGACAGAGGCAGGCAUUGUCUGGGCAGAGACGAGAGAUCCUGCCCCCACAGCCAUUAUCCUGGCUGGUGAACAGGUGAUGCUCAAGCACAGCAUGUGCACAGACAAUGGGCAGCGUUCUGUGCUCAGGAAAAUGAUCUCUGACACAGGCUGAUGUCUGAAGGAUGGGUCACUAAAACUAUCGGGAUUAAUUGUUCCCCUUUUAUUUUAUCCAUCAACUUUCUGCAUUAGGAAUGUUUAGGGGAGAUUCAAGAAACCUGAUACAACAUCUGCAACAUUGCCAUCACCAAGAAAACAUUCGUUCAGAUAAUAAGGCUGUCUCGAGAUCCACUGUCUCAAGAGAUCAUGUGUAAAUUAGACCAAGUGAUUAAAAAAACCCAAAAACUAACAAACAUGCUGGCUAGAUAGUUCAAACUUUUCAGAAGAGCAGAAAUGAAGAAAAAAUAUUGUAGAGUUUGCAGGAAAAUGUAUUUGAGCUGAAAUAAGGCCUUCUCCCCAGUCUUUUAGCCAAUCUCAAGAGACUUUGUGUAAUUAUUAGAUUUCUCUUGGGAAGGAUACUGGACUUAGGUAAUAGCAGAAAUCUUGUGCAGUGGAUUCUCCAGGAACCCCUUUCUACAUUAUGCCCCAUUACUGUGCCUCCAAAGCCCUGAAAACUCAUGCACCCUCAAACUGCCUUGAGAUGUCAUUUUCCAUAUUUUCCUUCACAUUCAGGAGCUGCUUCAUCUGACUCAGCAAUAAAUAGCAGAGAAGAGAUGGGCUCUGGGAAUUCACAGAUAUGAUGUGCACAGUCAUUUUCUGAUUGUGAAGGGGACCACUGUAAAUCUCUGUGCACCCAGACUGGAUCUUGCACUGAAAAGCAUCAAAAUCUGAAUUAUACAGAGGCUAUGCAGCACUAUGGGCAACAGGGAAGCAAGCUAACACUAUCUCCUGAUUUCACAAGAAAAAAGUCAGAAAUACCACAACAACUAAAAGACAUCUUGAAUAAAGAAACACUUCAGUGGACCCAAUCUUCAGGGGUGCAUUCAGUUUCUCUGCCACAGGUACCUCUCAGCCAGCAAGGCACACUCAGGUAUAGACAGGCGUACCCCAGUCGUGUGGCACCCGUGAAUAGAUCCAGUGAGCCUGUGCAGCUGUGUUUUGAUCAGCAGAGAGGUUUCCUGGCAUCCGAGAACUGAAAUCACCUUGUGGUGCUUCAGCUAGGACUGGUGUUGGUUGGGAACUGGCAAUUGCUCCUCUCCUGCUCCUGAGAUGCUGAAGAACAGCCGCACAAACAUACUCAGCACAAGGGCGUUUCUCCACAUUUAUCUUAGGUCACCACACCUCACUGGAGGUUUCCCUGGCUUAAUGAGCAAUUCUGAAACCAUGGGAAGUACCAGACGAUGGGGGUCAGUGUACAUUCUGAUAUUUGAAAGCCACUCCAUAGCAUCACAAGAGGAUUCUUGGCACCUGCCUAGUUAAACUGAAUGUCCAAUGUUAUCUCUCCAGGCAAGUAAGAUUCUGGCAAUCACUGUAGUCCUAUUUCGCUCCUUCUCAGUCUUUUUGACACCAACACAUUAAUUCUCCCAAGCUCCUUUGGUAUGAUUGAUAAUAUUGAAUAUUUCUUUUAACCUUCUACUGCCAUUCCUUGGCUAGGUGGUAGUUUUUGUGUUUGGAUGUUAAUCUCCAGCAUGCAGUAGCACAUCUUCUAAUCACUUACUCAUUAUGGAGCUCGUUUGUAAAAUGUUGCUGCUUAAUUUAUGACUGCCUGUGAAGCCCCACCUACCACUGGCCCUCCAACACUCCCACUGUCAGAGGUCACAUAAAGAAAAUCAUUGCUUUAUACAGAAAAUCCUUCUAGUUUAACACAAGGGAUGGCAGUCCUUGGACAAAAUUUGUCUAUGUGGUUCCAUGUGAUGCACUGGAAAGAAAUACAUUCUGGAAAGGGUAUAAAUAAAUAAGUUCUCUUGUUCAGUGCAGGAAAUGGCCUAACUAAAAUGUAAUGGCAAAAAAUGUCAUCAAUUUCUUCCAAUUUCAUGGGGAAAAAAAAUAAAAUGUUGUCUGAGGAGACACAGAUAUGUAAAAACAAAAAGACCUCCCAGGAUGACUUGAAUUAUGUUCAAGUUACACAUCUACUCCCUGCUCCCUCGAACCCAGUAAAUAUUUCUUUGGCCUUACUAAGUAUUUCUAAGUCUGAACCCAGGAAACCUCAGCUUGACCUUGAAAAUAAGAUUCCUCAGUUUUCUAAGUAAAUGUCUUAGCCACAUUACUGGAGGAGUUGCACUUUUUUGAUUGAACAUAUAAAACUUGUCUCUUUUGGCAAACAGGGUAGAUUAUACUGUGAAGAACUGAUUGUUUUCCCAAUUAGCUGACCACAGGCACUUUCAAGCUCUGUUUCUCAGCUUCUACACCUCAGUACAAUGCUGGUGGCAAGGUUAAAAUAUCUGUUUGGGGCUGGUAGGGGCAGGGUUAAGCCAGUGAAAAGCAGCAGAGCCUAUCUCAGUGCAGAUAACACUGACCUACCUUGCUGAGUGAGCAUCCAGAGCAUCUCUCUACAGAGAUUUUGUUUUGUCUUCUUCUCAGGAUGGUUUAACAGCAUUUGAUAUUGAAGCAUCCUUCUAGCAUGCCUUGAAUCCCAUUUGAGAUUUUAGAUUGAAUAUGUCUGGAUUUGAUCAGUUUGAUCAGUUUAUUUUCCUCUGAUGUUUUUCUCCUCUGCCAGCUGCAUUAGCUCUUCUUUCACCCAGGACUCACUCACUCCAUAGUAAGUGUAAUGAAAAUACUCUUUUGAAACACUUUGACAUCAUCUUCUAACAUCUGACUCAUAUUCAGGUAUAAAUUUCCCAGGUCUGGUUAUCAGUUCUCUGUAGAAAAGCAUAAGCAAGUGUUCCACAUGGAGUGUAAAAGGACAAGAAAGGUCCCGAAUUCCUCUUCUGAUCACCAGUCAAUGUCUAUAAACUGAUGUUGAAACUCUCUGUGACCACAGCCUUCCUUUAAUGUCAUAGCUGAGACAUAACUGCCUUUUGUCCAAUGAACUUGUUUAAAACAUACCAAAAUAAUAAAGAUGGACACUUUGAUUGGCAUCUACCGUAUUAAUUGAAUUGAACCUGGCUUUAAUUCUAACAAAAAACCAAAUGCAGUAUUGGGUGUUAAAUAAAAUAAGGUGGUGCUUUUUCAAAAUGAACCUUUUCAUUUUUGCUUCAGCUUGAGUUUCUCACUUGAGGCCAUCCACUAGUGUUGAAGUGCUGUCAGCUAGUGUUUCCCAGAGGCUCCUAGUUCAGGGCACCAGUGCAGACACCCAGCUGUCCAAGCUGGCCCUUGCACCCUCCCCAGGUCCUGCUGACUCCUGGCUGUGCUCAGGGUUUCAUUAGGUUGCAAGUUGUAGCCACGUGCAGAUUUAAGGGCUCCGUGUAGCUCAGGUAAUAUCCACACAUCUGAGAAGGACAGUACUGCUAUCCAAACAGAAUGAACCUUUGAACUUUGUUAGGUUUUUAAUAUGACGUUAAGCCUCAGAUUUAUAAAACCAAACCAGAGCAAAACAAAAGCGUGCUUGCUUUCAUUCUGUGUUCUGAUUUUGCAUUGGAUUGUCAGCAAAGCAGACUUUUUACCUAUAAACAGAUGGCACACAAUUCUGUGGGAUUUUCCCACAUUUGAUGAACACACAUCAAGUCCAUUUACAUGAGCAUGGAAAAUAUUAA